ACGUAGGGUGCGAGCGUUAAUCGGAAUUACUGGGCGUAAAGCGUGCGCAGGCGGUUUUGUAAGACAGAUGUGAAAUCCCCGGGCUUAACCUGGGAACUGCGUUUGUGACUGCAAGGCUAGAGUACGGCAGAGGGGGGUGGAAUUCCUGGUGUAGCAGUGAAAUGCGUAGAUAUCAGGAGGAACACCGAUGGCGAAGGCAGCCCCCUGGGCCUGUACUGACGCUCAUGCACGAAAGCGUGGGGAGCAAACAG
rnacentral:rRNA from 1 species